rnacentral:piRNA from 1 species
UCAGAAAAUCUAGCUGCCACCUGCAAA